rnacentral:rRNA from 1 species
UACGUAGGUGGCAAGCGUUGUUCGGAAUUAUUGGGCGUAAAGGGCGCGUAGGCGGUCCGAUAAGUCCCGUGUGAAAGCCCCCGGCUCAACUGGGGAACUGCACGGGAAACUGACGGACUUGAGUUCGGGAGAGGGAAGCGGAAUUCCGGGUGUAGCGGUGAAAUGCGUAGAUAUCCGGAGGAACACCGGUGGCGAAGGCGGCUUCCUGGACCGACACUGACGCUGAGGCGCGAAAGCUAGGGGAGCAAACGGG